AGUGAACGCUGGCGGUAGGCCUAACACAUGCAAGUCGAACGGCAGCACAGUAAGAGCUUGCUCUUACGGGUGGCGAGUGGCGGACGGGUGAGGAAUACAUCGGAAUCUACUUUUUCGUGGGGGAUAACGUAGGGAAACUUACGCUAAUACCUCAUACGACCUACGGGUGAAAGCAGGGGAUCUUCGGACCUUGCGCGAUUGAAUGAGCCGAUGUCGGAUUAGCUAGUUGGCGGGGUAAAGGCCCACCAAGGCGACGAUCCGUAGCUGGUCUGAGAGGAUGAUCAGCCACACUGGAACUGAGACACGGUCCAGACUCCUACGGGAGGCAGCAGUGGGGAAUAUUGGACAAUGGGCGCAAGCCUGAUCCAGCCAUACCGCGUGGGUGAAGAAGGCCUUCGGGUUGUAAAGCCAUUUUGUUGGGAAAGAAAAGCAGCAGGUUAAUACCCCGCUGUUCUGACGGUACCCAAAGAAUAAGCACCGGCUAACUUCGUG
rnacentral:rRNA from 1 species